CCCUCGACCUUAGUUGCCAGCAUUCAGUUGGGCGACUCUAAGGUGACUGCCGGCUAAAAGUACGGAGGAAGGUGGGGAUGACGUCAAAUCAUCAUGCCCCUUAUGACCUGGGCUACACACGUGCUACAAUGGGCGGUACAAAGGGCUGCGAACCCGCGAGGGGGAGCGAAUCCCAAAAAGCCGCUCUCAGUUCGGAUUGCAGGCUGCAACUCGCCUGCAUGAAGCCGGAAUCGCUAGUAAUCGCGGAUCAGCAUGCCGCGGUGAAUACGUUCCCGGGCCUU
rnacentral:rRNA from 1 species